GUUUUGAUUUUUUUUCACUGUCAUACUUCCAAGUUAAUAGAAUUAAACCAGAAUAUGCCAUUCUUUCAAAUCCUCCAGCCAGGCAAAAUUUUACUGUAUUACUUCUUGCUUUCAAUGAAUAUAAAGCAGACUCCUGAUAGGCACAUUUUGUAUACCUGCAAAGAUGCAGAACUGAACAGUUCCAUCUGUUCAAUAUUAAAACAAAAGUCCUGUAAACCUCGGAUGGUGAGUGUAAUACUUCAGCACUAGCACCAAAGCCUCAAAUAUGAAAGGAUACCAAGAACACCACUAGCAAACAAAAGUGAGCUCUUGGCUGGGAGCACUAGUUCAUGCCGUAAUCCCAGCACAUUGGCAAGCCAAGGUGGGAGGAUUACUUGAAGUCAGGAGUUCAAGACCAGCCUGGGCAGCAUAGCGAAUUCACAACUCUACAAAAAAUUUUAAAAAUUAGCUGGGUGUGGUGGCACACACCUGUAGUCCUAUCUACUUGGGAGGCUGAUGUAGGAAAAUCGCUUGAGCCCAGGAGUUCGAGGCUGCGGUAGCUAUGAUCAUGCCACUGUACUCCAGCCUGGGUGACAGGGCAAGACUUAGACAAUUAAAGUCUGUCCUGUUCCUGUUUACAUUAAAAUCACUAAGUUAAAAUGCUUUCAAUCAGCAGGAUAAAAAUUAAGUGAAAUAUGACUUUGGAGUUUGGCCAGAAAAUAGACAAUGGAGAAACAGACACUUCCCACAGGAAUAAAAAUGGCCAAUAAGCAUGUAAAAAAGAUUCAAAAGCACUAGAAGCUAAAGAAAUGUAAUGAAAACAAUGAGAUUUUCUGCUUAAAGACUAGCAAAGAGGACAAAUGGAAGGGGGAAACUGGAGCUCUGUCUCUGUUGGUGGGAGUAUAAACUGAACCAAUUUUCCUGCAGUAUAAUUUGAAAAUUUUUAUUAAAAACACUAGAACUGUUUUAUGUUAUUGUCCUCCAGAAAUUCUACUUCUAUAAAUUCAGUCCAAAAAUGCUUGCUCGAGUCCAUUAAAAUGUAUAUAUAAGAAAAUUUACUUCUAGGGUGACAAUGAUUAACUUAAUAUACAUCCAACUAUUAAAAAUGAUGAUGCCAAGGAUAUAUUUACUGCCAUAGAAAUUUACUGCCCAAAACAUAGUGACAAAAGACUAUAUGUUAUGAUUCUACUUUUAAAAAUGUUUAUAUGCAUAAAAAAGUAUAAAAAGCAACAAAUCAGAAUGUUUUGAGUGGCAAAAUUAGACUUUUCUUCAUAUUUUGUCUUCCAAAUUAUUACAAAACAAUGUGACUUUCUUUUUUUUUUUUUUUUUUUGAGACAGAGUCUCGGUCUGUCACCCAGGCUGGGGUGCAGUGGCGCGAUCUCAGCUCACUGCAACCUCCACCUCCUGGAUUCAAGCAAUUCUCCUGCCUCAGCCUCCUGAGUAGCUAGGAUUAUAGGCAUGCACCACCACGCCCGGCUAAUUUUCGUAUUUUUAGUAGAGACGGGGUUUCACUAUAAUGGACAGGCUGGUCUCGAACUCCUGACCUCAUGAUCCACCCACUUCGACCUUCCAAAGUGCUGGGAUUACAGGCAUGAGCCACCAUGCCCGGCCUCUAAGAAUGUGAUUUUCUUUAUGAUCAGGGAGAAGUAUUAUUUUCAUUUAUUUAUAUUUAAAUUUUUUUAUUUUCCCUAUUUUUUCUCAUGUAUGUAUCACAUGCAGUCUAGAGAGCCGGAAUCCCUGCCUCUUGAGGUAAAUCAGCCCAUUUCUGUCUCUAUAAAUUUGUCUUUUCUGGACAUUUCAAAUCAACGGAAUUAUACAAUAUGUGGUCUCGUGUCUGGCUUUUUUACUUAGCUAAUGUUUUUGAGGUUGAUCCAUGACACGACAUGUUUUGGUAGUUUGUUCCUUUCAUUACUGAGUAGAAGACCAUUGAUGGAAAUAGCACAUUUUGUCAGCAGAGAGCCUUUGAAACUUGGAUUCCAACUUCCUGUGGCCUAAAUGAAACCCUCAGAACACAGGACUUACAGGCGAAGCUGCCGUAUAUGUCAAAGUAACUACUUAUCAGAACUAGCUUUGUCAUCAGGAGCCUGAAUUUUCAUCAUUUUGCAACUUAACUUUUUUUUUUUUUUUUUGAUACGGAGUUUCGCUAUUUUUGCCCAGGCUGGAGUGCAAUGGCGCUAUCUCGGCUCACUGCAACCUCUGCCUCCCAGGUUCAAGUGAUUCUCCUGCCUCAGCCUCCCGAGUAGCUGGGAUUACAGGCAUGUGCCACCAUGCCUGGCUAAUUUUGUAUUUUUUAAGUAGAUACAGGGUUUCUCCAGGUUGGCCAGGCUGGUCUCAAACUCCCGACCUCAUGUGAUCCACCCACCUUGGCCUCCCAAAGUGCUGGGAUUACAGGCAUGAGACACUGCGCCCGGCCUGCAACUUAUUUUUUACAAGCAACUUUUGUGCUACAUGUCAGGACUUUGGAAGCAUCUGAUACAUUAAUUUAAUAAGUAUGAGCAUGUGGCUGAGUGGACAAGAAAGUGAAACCAUCCAUGCUACAUUGCAUAUUUUUUCCUCUCCCAGACUGGACCAGGGAAUCUCCCAACUUUCUAGAGUAUCCUGUCUUCAUUUACAAAGCUGAACAGUAUUAAAGAUCCUGCUGCCUUUGUUAGGCAGAUUUGGAGGGGAGGCCCAACAGCAGUGGUGGAGAGGAAAAAGAGAGUGGAGCCUGUGGAACAGGAAGCCCCCCUCCCCGCCCCCCGACACCGGGGUCCGCACAGGGCUCCCAGCUGUUGAGGAUGUUGUGGAUGGGGAAGUGCUGAUAGUGUCACCAGGCAAGCCUAGCACCUCCAAUGGGCCCAGAAGGUCUUGACUUUGGACCCUUACCCUUGUUUCACAAGUGUUUAAAAGCUGUUUUUGCUUUUGUUAUUUUCCCGAAUACUCAUUACUUAGUAGGUAGUUAUUAAUCUUUCUUUGGGAGAGGGACAGGGCUUUAAAACUGAAGAACAUAAUUUUCAUAAAAAUAUCAAAAAUAGAAAAAAAGUUACUUUAGAAACAAUUUGCUAUAUAAACCAAAUGGCAGCUGUUGAGAAUCUCAAUAAAAUGUUAAAUGCAUUUGCUGCUUUUAGAAGAAAUAAAGAAAAAAAAAUUAGAUGAAAUAAAGAAAAAAAUGCAUUUGCUGUCAGUGGUACCCUUUUGCCUAAGGGUGGCACUGUGUCAUCAUACUGUGGUGGGGGGUGUGUGUGCUGUAUAUGUGUGAAACUUUUCAUCUCAGGAUAGAUCAUAGUCUUAGUUGCAGUUUUCCUUCCAAAUAGGGUUACAAAGUAGUAAAACAUGGACUUGGAAGUGACAGACCUGAGGGAAUCAGUGCAGCUUAAAAAAAAAUCCAAUAAAACUAACUUUUAAUAAUCCUUAGAUUGGUUUUUGAAACAAUAGAUAUAAUUAUUUACUCUAAGCAUCUGGUUAUGAUUUUGAAACAAUAAUACAUGCUGUCUCCGCCCUUUUUUUCUUUUCUUUUUUUUUUUUUUUUUCUUAUGGAAACAGACGUUUUAUCCAGAAAACCCCAGUGACUUUUUUUUUUUUUUUUUUCCAAACAUGGUCUUACUCUGUUGCCCAAGCUGGAGUGGAGUGGUGGAUCUCAGCUCACUGCAGCCUCAACCUCCCACCUCAGCCUCCCCAGCAGCUGCAUCCACAGGCACCACUGUGCCCUGCCAAUUUAUUAUAUUUUUUGUACAGAUGGGGCUUUUCCAUGUUGCCCAGGCUGGUCUCAAACUUCUAGGCUCAAGCGGUUCGCCCACUUCGGCCUCCCAAAGUGAUGUGACUACAGGCAUAAGCCACUGUGCCCAGCCUGCAGUGACUUUUUAAAACAUAAGUUCAAGCAUCUCUUCUUAACUCCUUUAAUUGGAGGUAUCUCUUCUCUCAUUGUCCUCAUCUUUAGUGUUCCCCCAGAGUUCACUGCUGACUGGAUGUACAACACAUAUUUCUUUCUUUUUUUUUUUUUUUUUUUUUUGAGACAGAGUCUCGCUCUGUUGCCCAGGCUGGAGUGCAAUGGCGCGAUCGCGGCUCACUGCAAGCUCCGCCUUCCGGGUUCAC
rnacentral:lncRNA from 1 species